rnacentral:misc_RNA from 1 species
GAUGAAGAAGCAGCGAAAUGCGAUAAGUAAUGUGAAUUGCAGAAUUCAGUGAAUCAUCGAGUUUUUGAACGCAUAUUGCGCCCUCUGGUAUUCCGGGGGGCAUGCCUGUUCGAGCGUCAUUAAAUAACCCUCAAGCAUAGCUUGGUGUUGGGCUUUUUUACGUCCUUGACUGGGAUGGGCCUAAAAAUUAGUGGCGAUGGCUUUUUUACUUUCAAGCGUAGUAAAUCUCGUCUUGCUAAAGAGGAAAAAGAUUUUUUUUCUGCCACAACUUUUAACAUUUAAAGUUGACCUCGGAUCAGGUAGGAUUACCCGCUGAACUUAAGCAUAUCAAUAAGCGGAGGA